UACGGAGGGUGCAAGCGUUAGUCGGAAUUACUGGGCGUAAAGGGUGCGUAGGCUGGGAUAUAAGUCAGAUGUGAAAAACCAAAGCUCAACUUUGGCAGUGCAUCUGAAACUGUACUUCUAGAGGAAUAGCGGAGAAAACGGAAUUCCACGUGUAGCGGUGAAAUGCGUAGAUAUCGAGAGGAACACCUGCGGCGAAGGCGGGUUGCUGGGCUGACACUGACGCUGAGGCGCGAAAGCUAGGGGAGCGAACGGG
rnacentral:rRNA from 1 species